GCGCUCGUAGCUCAACGGUUAGAGCAGGGGACUCAUAAUCCCUUGGUUGCAGGUUCGAAUCCUGCCGGGCGCA
rnacentral:tRNA from 1 species